UCCCGCUCUUCACGGGCAGUCUGUGUCGAGUGCCGCUUUCGCCUGGCAACGACACACAAGGGUUGCGCUCGUUACGGGACUUAACCCAACAUCUCACGACACGAGCUGACGACAGCCAUGCAGCACCUGUCUCUUCGUUCCCUUAUUCAGGGCCCCCUUCGUCUCCGAAGGUUCCAAAGGAUGUCAAGACCAGGUAAGGUUCUUCGCGUUGCAUCGAAUUAAACCACAUGCUCCACCGCUUGUGCAGGCCCCCGUCAAUUCCUUUGAGUUUUAGCCUUGCGGCCGUACUCCCCAGGCGGAGGACUGAUCGCGUAUGCUUCGCGACGGAUAACAUACGUCACCCACCGCUCGUCCUCAUCGUUUACCGCAUGGACUAC
rnacentral:misc_RNA from 1 species